AUUGAACGCUGGCGGCAUGCUCUACACAUGCAAGUCGAACGGUAACAGGCCGCAAGGUGCUGACGAGUGGCGAACGGGUGAGUAAUGCAUCGGAACGUGCCCAGUCGUGGGGGAUAACUACUCGAAAGAGUAGCUAAUACCGCAUACGAUCUAUGGAUGAAAGCGGGGGACCGUAAGGCCUCGCGCGAUUGGAGCGGCCGAUGUCAAAUUAGGUAGUUGGUGGGGUAAAGGCUCACCAAGCCAACGAUCUGUAGCUGGUCUGAGAGGACGACCAGCCACACUGGGACUGAGACACGGCCCAGACUCCUACGGGAGGCAGCAGUGGGGAAUUUUGGACAAUGGGCGCAAGCCUGAUCCAGCAAUGCCGCGUGCAGGAAGAAGGCCUUCGGGUUGUAAACUGCUUUUGUACGGAACGAAACGGCUCUGGUUAAUACCCGGGGCUAAUGACGGUACCGUAAGAAUAAGCACCGGCUAACUACGUG
rnacentral:rRNA from 1 species